ensembl:lncRNA
UCCAGGUCUUCGUAGUGAUUGACGAUCCAGUCAUUAGAGGAGAUAGACUGCAACUGAUUAUAGACACUGUAAGUCAGACAAGACAAGAAAUGCCCAGCUGUUGAAUCAGGAAACAGAUAAACUUUAAACAUCAUCAAGAAAUUAUUAUUUAAUUGAUUUUCAACUGAUUCUUUUCUCUCUGUCAUGAAUUAUUUUAAAAUCCCUCUGAGUGUCUUUGAACACUGUUUCAGAUGACAUGCAAUACCAUACAAUACAAUAAAGCUCUCCUGAAAAACAAAAAUUCUGCAAAAACACUGAUUUCACUCUUUCACCUGCAUUUAAAAGGUCUCUAAACAUGCAAGGAAAAUCAUUAUAAAUAUAUAUGUAUUUUUUACAAAACAAUGUAUUGCAUUUAAAUUUUUUAAGUAUUAGUUUUAUAGAAUUUGAAUAGCCAGUAUGGAAAUGUAAAAUAAACUGAGUCCAGAUAGAGAAAUUAAAGUGUUACAUUCUGUGGUCAUUUAUUGAUUACAUGCUGCCAAGCCUCCAGUGAGGACUGUAAAUGGGACUAUGUAAAUUCCAGAAAAUCCAUUUUAGUGAGCACAGAUGUCACUUAAGGAUAGUUGACCAGUGUGAGUCAGAUAUGUGUCAAAACCGCUGACUGUGACACUGUAAGAUAAACUAUUCAGAAAUUGGAACACGAGAAUCAAAUGUCAUUUAUCGAUGAUAUUCCACUAAGCCUGCUUUAUGCACUGUCGCUGCAGAGCUGUUGUUGCAGGAAGAGUUGCUACUGCUGAUUAUCAUUUCAAUAGGGAUUAUCAUUUCACUCACCUCAUGCUGGCUGUUUCCUGACUGUAAUGCUGAAGAAACAUUUUUUAUUUUUAUUAAAACGGCGAUUAUGUAAAAUUACGUUUUUUUGUUUUGUUUUGUUUUUUAGCAACCUUAUAAUUUUUUAAUUCUAGAAAUCGCCUUACAUUUUAGGAAGUAUAGAAGUAACCUGAUGGUUCAGAUCCAUUUUGAUACAGCUGCCUAAAUAUCAUUUAGCCCUUGUGUCUCAUUAUUGCUCAUCACCUUAAGCCUCAGUUACACAGGCCUACAGACUGGCUGGUGACCCCCUGGUGGCUAGGCAAAAAUUUAUAUUCUCUGACUGGCUGGUGAGUGGUUGCUGGAUGUGACUGGUAGCAAAGAGAACAAACACAUCCUUACUACAGAUAUGGUUGUCUGUAUUGUGUGUAUAGAAGAUGCCAACUUGUCUGCAAACGCUCACUGACUAUCUCCUGAGCUGUACUGAAACCAGACAAAGUCCGACACAAACCAGGAAUGUGUAUAUAUAUGUAUGUAUAAAUGUCAAAGUGCAACUUGUCUUACCCAUUAAAGCAACAUUUUCCAAAAGGCACAACUUUUACUUUAACCUCCAAAGACCUGCUGUCCACAUAUGGGGACAUCACAUUUUGGGCUGUCAACAAUACUAAGUUUUACUGUUUCAAAUGAGCCAUAUUGCUCAAAGGGACACAAUCGGCACUGAAUGAACAAUGGGCUGGGAGGUCCAUUGUUCAUUCAGUGUGCCGAUUUCAGUCAUUAUGCAAAUGUACUGUUUUAUAGGAUAUAAGAAACCUGCAGUCAGCUGACACUGAAGAAGUCACUUGGAUGAGUGACAAAACGUUUCUCCCACUGAAAACGCUACGUCCAGAUGAACAGAAUCAACCUUUGGAGAUUUACUUGCCUGGAUGAUUGAGAAUGCAUCAAGACAUAUGAGGGUUUUCGUUGCAGCACCACAUACCUCUACCUGAGUCUUUGUUUUUUUGUUUUUUUUUUAUCUAGCAAGAGCCAGCAACCGUCUGCAACAACUCGCAACCUGAUUGCGGAAUACACAUUUUUCCCUAGUGAUGGAUGGUUACCAUGGAGUCACUGACUGGUCUCUAAGGCUGUGUGACUGGGGCUUAGGAAUUAAUGAGAGUAAUGGGCAGCAGUCUCAGCAAUUACUCAAAUGUUUAGGGAAUAUUCGUUUUUACCGAGCAGUUGCCAUGUGACCCAUCAGUCUUUUUAGGCCUGUGUGACUGGGAUCUAAGUGGUGUUAAAAGGGCCUUAUAUGAGCUGUAAAUCACAGACAAAUAACACACAGACAUUUCAUAACCAAAACAAAUUUCCUUUUUGUGUUUGUUACCAAAUCAACUAAAAAUGCCAAAACUCACAAUGUAUUAAUUCUUCUGUGUUGCAUGAGCAGCCAAAUCCUCGUUUUUAAUUUUGUAAAAUGAAGCUCUGUGGUGCGACACUACUUAAGCACAUAUAUUGAACACACAGUUACACAGAUGAUCCUUUGGUACUGUUAAUACUGAGGUUAAAAUUGUCCCUAACAAAUUUCAAAGAAAAUUCUGAAUUG